rnacentral:lncRNA from 1 species
CCGCCCCCGGGCCCGCCCCGCAGCCCCGGAAAACCGGGGGGGGGACCGAAAGGGGGGGUCAGGAGGCAGCCGGGAGCCGCGUUUUGCCCGGUGCCGGUGGGAAUUUGCUCGGGGAGCGGCAUUUCCCCGGGUCUGAGCCCAAUUCGGAGUCGCUCCCCGGCUUGAAGCCGAAUUCGGAGUCACUCCGAGAUGAAAUCCGCCCGUGACAAAGGGGAGUUUCGCAAAGGCCACCGCCGCAGAUUCCCGUUUCCAGCCCGGGAGCGGGUGUCUCAGCGGCACCGCUGACGCAACCCUCGCCGCGGUGGGAAGAGUCCCCGCUGCCGCCGGGAGUUUCCGAGCUCAGCGCCGGUGCUAUAAGAUGGGCACGGGCUGUGCCCAAACCCAGGAGCUUGUGCAUGAGCCCAGGCGCUGAGGUUAUGCUGCGAGCUGCGGCGUGUGGCCCUUUUCCUCCGAUCUCCUACCCACACGAGCCAGCGUUGAUUCGUAAUUCUGUUCCUAUCAGCAAAACCCAGGGAUCCCAGACUCGGAAAGGAGGCCCGGACCAAGGUCUUUUUGUCCGAUUGGUCUGCUUCCAUGGGUAGAGCCCUCAGCCCAGCUUGGCGAGCCAAGACAGAGACCUCGCUGCCACCGCACGUCUCUCCCCGCGCACCGUUUCUCGUCACCCAGCAGGGAGAACGCCAGCCUGGAAGGCGAGGAGGCUCGGUCGCUCGCCGUCUUUGGGAAGGAAACGGGGGGGGAGGCAGGAGAGGAGGCCGGUGAGAGUUGGCAGCGGUGGUAUCUGAGUCCCAGCUGGGGUGGGACACCUACGGCGGGAGGGAGAGGAGCCGCGCUCCUCCAUGUCUCGUCUGGGUGUGUCAUGGUUGGGAGGAACCAAAUAACUCCCGUAAAAACGCUGUCCCGGGUAUUCUCUGCUUUGCACUUCUGAUGGGACAGGAAGUUUGGUAUUUCUGUAAAAUGCUUACUGUCUGUCUUGUCCGAAACAAUAAAAACAUGCAACACCAAAUCUAUGUUGGAGAAGUUUUAUUUGUGGGUCACAAAGCCCCCGCGAGGCCUGGGAACAGGGCUAGCUCUUCCAGCCAGCUCUAGGGAGCUGCUUCCUAUGCAGAACCUCUCUCUCUGAAGCCCCUGCCCUUAAUUUCAAGUUUAUCAGGUGCGUCGUUCCACCAGGCAAUGUUACAUGACCUAUGAAUCUGAAC